rnacentral:rRNA from 1 species
GCCGGUGCUUAUUCUGUCGGUAACGUCAAAACAGCAAAGUAUUAAUUUACUGCCCUUCCUCCCAACUUAAAGUGCUUUACAAUCCGAAGACCUUCUUCACACACGCGGCAUGGCUGGAUCAGGCUUUCGCCCAUUGUCCAAUAUUCCCCACUGCUGCCUCCCGUAGGAGUCUGGACCGUGUCUCAGUUCCAGUGUGACUGAUCAUCCUCUCAGACCAGUUACGGAUCGUCGCCUUGGUGAGCCAUUACCCCACCAACUAGCUAAUCCGACCUAGGCUCAUCUGAUAGCGCAAGGCCCGAAGGUCCCCUGCUUUCUCCCGUAGGACGUAUGCGGUAUUAGCGUCCGUUUCCGAACGUUAUCCCCCACUACCAGGCAGAUUCCUAGGCAUUACUCACCCGUCCGCCGCUCUCAAGAGAAGCAAGCUUCUCUCUACCGCUCGACUUGCAUGUGUUAGGCCUGCCGCCAGCGUU